UACGUAGGGGGCAAGCGUUGUCCGGAUUUAUUGGGCGUAAAGAGCGUGUAGGCGGCCAGGUAGGUCUGCUGUGAAAACUCGAGGCUCAACCUCGAGAUGUCGGCGGAAACCACUUGGCUAGAGUCCGGAAGAGGAGAGUGGAAUUCCCGGUGUAGCGGUGAAAUGCGCAGAUAUCAGGAGGAACACCGGUGGCGAAGGCGGCACUCUGGGCCGGUACUGACCGCUGGAGGAGCGAAAGCGUGGGAGCGAACAGG
rnacentral:rRNA from 1 species